rnacentral:rRNA from 1 species
AUUGAACGCUGGCGGCAUGCCUUACACAUGCAAGUCGAACGGUAACAGGUUAAGCUGACGAGUGGCGAACGGGUGAGUAAUAUAUCGGAACGUGCCCAGUCGUGGGGGAUAACGUAGCGAAAGCUACGCUAAUACCGCAUACGUUCUACGGAUGAAAGCGGGGGAUCGCAAGACCUCGCGCGAUUGGAGCGGCCGAUAUCAGUUUAGGUUGUUGGUGAGGUAAAAGCUCACCAAGCCUGCGAUCUGUAGCUGGUCUGAGAGGACGACCAGCCACACUGGAACUGAGACACGGUCCAGACUCCUACGGGAGGCAGCAGUGGGGAAUUUUGGACAAUGGACGCAAGUCUGAUCCAGCAAUGCCGCGUGCAGGACGAAGGCCUUCGGGUUGUAAACUGCUUUUGUACGGAACGAAACGGUGAGCUCUAAUACAGUUUGCUAAUGACGGUACCGUAAGAAUAAGCACCGGCUAACUACGUGCCAGCAGCCGCCGCCG